CUCCAAUGUGGGCUCCCCCUGGCUGAUUUUGUGUCUGUCAUGCCAUCUUCAUAGCUUACUUGAAUUAGAAUUAUCCUUGAUAACAAUGAAAGCUUUGAUUAGUGAGUGCAUGAAUGUGAGUGGUUUAUUAACAUUGGCCCUCAUCUGCCCCACACCCACAAGAGCAUUUCAGGAGGUUCCUGUGAAAAACCUACAUGCACACACCCCCACGUGCAGCUGCAGACUGCUAUCUAUACACGAAGUUAUGCAUCGCAGAGUCGACUGCAAAAGGCUGGAGCCCACACAGCGUCUAUCAAUAGGGAACGGGUUAAAUCGACCACAAGAUUUCCAUAUGACGAUGGAACACUUUCCAGCCAAGAAAGGAGGAGGAAGUCCUCACUGCUCUGAUACGGAACAGUCACCAAGACAUAUUUUAAGUAAAAAAAAGGCAGCAUGCAUAACCAGGGAAAUGAAAACUAAAACCACAGUGAGUUACAAUUUCACACAGAUCCAUCUACAAAAAAAAAAAAGCUGAUAAUUGCAGGUGUUGGUGAAGAAGUGGAGUGAGGGGAAUGCUCAAACUACUAGUGGGUGUGCGAAUGGUUAUAACCACUUUUUAAAAUUUUGGCAUUAUCUACUGAAGUUGACAAUGUACUUUCCCAAUGGCCUUGCAAAUGCCCUGGAGAAGUUCUUACCCAACCCCCGCCAUUCCCCCCAACACACACCAAAAGAAACAAUUAAGAACAUUUGCACCAGCUCUGUUCCUAGAACCCCAAAACUGAGGCCAGCACUGAGGCCAAGCACAGUGGCUCAUGCCUGUAAUCCCAGCAGGCAUGAGCCACCCUUUGGGAGCCUGAGGCCGGAGGAUUAUUGAGGUUGAGAGUUCAAGACCAGCCUGGGCAACAUAGUGAGACCUUGUCUCUAUAAAAGAAGUUUUAAAAAUUAGCCAGGUGUGAUGGCUCAUGCUUGUAGUCCCAGCUAAUUGGGAGGCUGAGGUAGGAGGAUCGUUUCUUGAGCCCUGGAGGUUGAGGCUGCAGUGAGCCAUGAUUGCACCACUGCACUCCAGCCUGGGCAACAGAAUGAGACCCUGUCUCAAAAAAUAAAAUUAAAUUAGAAAACAAUAAUAAUUAUUAUUAAUAAAUAAAAUAGUCCAAUGAAAAUAAUCAUACUAUCUCCAUGCAAUGGAAUUCUAUACAAGAGUGAAAAUGAACUAACUCCGGACAUGCGUAUCAGUACACUGAACUUCAGAACUAUAAUUAUGGGUGGGACAAAAGCCAGCCAUAGAAAACUAUUCUAUUCAUAAUCCCAAAAAGGUAGUAUACCAUAUUCAAUUAUUAUAUAUAUUUAUGUCUUGUUAUAUAUAAUGUUUAUUACAUUUAUCUUAGUAUAAAAAUAUAGUAUAUUUAUCAUAAUCUAUUAUAAACAAGUAGUAGGAUUAUAAAAAGACAAAAAGGGCAGGAUAAGCGUAAAAUUCAUGAUAGUAUUUAGGGGAAGAGGAGGGUGGGGCUGGAGAGAGGCACAUGGUUUCAAAAGCCCAGCUUCUUUGUCUAAAACAGGGCGUGGGUACCCAUACUGGUCUAUUGUAUUGUGGGUGUCUUUAAAAUGUAUAUAUAUUCUAUAACUACUAUUUUUGUAUCUACUCAAUAUUUAAUUUUAAAAUUUUAAAUGAGGCCUAGAACACUAUAAAAAGUAUGCUACCAUUUGUAUAGAAAAAGUGGACACACACAUCACUCAUGUGCAUAGAUUAAAGUGUCUCUGGAAACUUACACAUGCAACUGGUGAAACUGGUUUCCUCUGGGGAGGAGAACUGGG
rnacentral:lncRNA from 1 species